GUGGGGAAUCUUCGGCAAUGGGCGCAAGCCUGACCGAGCCAUGCCGCGUGAGCGAUGAAGGCCUUAGGGUUGUAAAGCUCUUUCGCCAGGGAUGAUAAUGACAGUACCUGGUAAAGAAACCCCGGCUAACUCCGUGCCAGCAGCCGCGGUAAUACGGAGGGGGUUAGCGUUGUUCGGAAUUACUGGGCGUAAAGCGCGCGUAGGCGGAUUGGAAAGUUGGGGGUGAAAUCCCGGGGCUCAACCUCGGAACUGCCUCCAAAACUCCCAGUCUUGAGUUCGAGAGAGGUGAGUGGAACUCCGAGUGUAGAGGUGAAAUUCGUAGAUAUUCGGAAGAACACCAGUGGCGAAGGCGGCUCACUGGCUCGAUACUGACGCUGAGGUGCGAAAGUGUGGGGAGCAAACAGGAUUAGAUACCCGGGUAGUCC
rnacentral:rRNA from 1 species